rnacentral:rRNA from 1 species
GCACCCGGUUAUUGUAUAACCUUAUAUAUGUCCGGNCUUUGUCUACUUGGUUUUAGGUUGGGGUGACCACGGAGCAUAAAAAAGCCUCCAUGAAGAAAGGAGUAAGUAUCCUUAUCAGAGAAUGACACUUCCAAGAAUUAAUAAACUAAUUUUUAAUGAUCCGAUAUUCGAUCAACGAACCAAGUUACCCUGGGGAUAACAGCGCAAUCCACCUC